rnacentral:rRNA from 1 species
CAGUAGCCACGGUAAUACCGAGGAUGCAAGCGUUAUUCGGAAUUACUGGGCGUAAAGCGUGCGCAGGCGGUUGUGUAAGACAGGUGUGAAAUCCCCGGGCUUAACCUGGGAACUGCGCUUGUGACUGCACAGCUAGAGUAUGGCAGAGGGGGGUGGAAUUCCACGUGUAGCAGUGAAAUGCGUAGAGAUGUGGAGGAACACCGAUGGCGAAGGCAGCCCCCUGGGCCAAUACUGACGCUCAUGCACGAAAGCGUGGGGAGCAAACAGGAUUAGAUACCCCUGUAGUCCCUGUCUCUUAUAC